rnacentral:lncRNA from 1 species
GCUGUGUACCUGAUAACUUCCAUAUCUUAUUUACAUAAAUAUGUAGUAAAGAAAUUUAAAUCAAAUCAUUUAUUAAAAUAUAAUCUAACAGUAGAUGAUCACUAAUGCAAUCGAACGUAAACAGUGACGUUAUCAUUUCAUUUUAAAAUGUUGUGCCGAGAAAGCACUUCACAUUUUGCUUUAUUCAACAAAAGAAAUCAAUAUAUAAAUACUUUCUUAUAUCAGAAAUUACCGCCAACAUGAACCACCAUAAUCAAAAAUAUUAAGAGCAUUGAAUUGAAGCAUCCUACACUUCAACGGUUUAUUUCAGUUUUCUAUAAGACGAAAAAAAGCUUGACAUACCAAUAGCAACCAAGCUAUUUCGUUUUUUUUAUUAUAUAAAAAUGAAAUCAUUCAGUGCUUGAACCUCAAAUUUCAAUAAUGUCUCGUCAAAAAGUAAAAUAACAAAAAUACCGAGCUCCAGCGAGAUUUGAAACCGAAAAGACCCUUAUCAAAUGAAAAAAAAUCAAGAGCUCAAACACAUCAAACGAAUGGAAACAACUGGCAUAUAUAUUCCGGACUUAGUACACGCAUUUCCCUAUGUAGAAAAUGGUGGAAUAAACCUUGUUAUAACCUCACAUUUUCUUGUUAUUCUUUGAAAAAAAAUGAAUGGUUGAUGGUUGAUAUAAUAUAAUUGGCAUCUGCUAUACAUUGUUAACAUAAUUAUCAAUUAGCUUAGCUACUGCAACAAAAAAAAUAAUUUAAAUUAUCCAAUCAUGGAAAAUAAGCCAAAUGCUACUUAGAUCGCAGUGUUGUACAUUGCAAAAACAUACUAAAUGGUUUUAUAUUGUGUUUUUCAAUUUCACAACAUUGGUCUAAAUAUGUGAAAGUGCACCAAAA